CCCGCCCCUCGUUCGGGGCUGGCUGAGGGCUCCGAGGCCCCACCGCAGCGCGUCUCUCCGCCCAAAGAAUCCGGAUGGACCCGCCUUUCCCAGAACCGGAGACCUUGGCCUCCUCAGGCUCCCCUCUGACUCAAACAAAAGCCGGAAUUGGAAAGACCACCCCUUUGAUGUGUUCGCUGUAAUCGACGUCCUGCUUUCCUCAACCGCCCAUUCCCUUAGCCUUCUUAGUUGACAGGAAUAUUGAGUAUUUGCAAGGAUGCGAAGCCAGAAAAAAAAAAAAGACUUUUAAUUCUAUAAAUCGUCCCGCUGCGUGCGCGCGUCUGUCCGUACAGCGCGGUGCCCACCCCGAGAGAGGGCCUGGAUUCACCAAGGCUGGGGGCCUUGAGGGCUUUUUAGGGCACGUGAAAGGAAAAUGGAGUUAGAGUUGUGUCGGGAUAGAGAGUGGGAUCAUUUUGCACUCAAGGAAUUGAGAAGAUCCCGUUGGUACCGCAGUUUCCAAGGAUUUGUGUAGUGCGUUUUUUGGAUCUGGUUUGUACAAGCGACCAGUAUAGGAGACGGGAUCCCUCCCGCCCUUACACCCCGCUGCGGGGUCAGCCGACGUGGGUGGGAUUUUGCUGGCGGCGAGGGGAGAAGGUGACGUGCGUGGCGCCAUGAUCGGAAGUCUGGACUGAAUUCUUAGCUGCGAGGUGGAAAAUGCGCGUGGGAGGGCGAUCUUGAGGGGUGAAGUCUGGCCUUCCCAUCUCCUACCAGGCAGGAGGGUUAUGCUGAAGGCUGGUUUUGCUGGUCUUUCAUUGUGGCUAAGGGCAGUUCCACAGAUACAGUCAUAGAUAGACUCCUUAAGUCAUGCUCUGCUUGCUUCUUCUAGUCCGCUGUUACCUCUUUAUCUGAAUUUGAUGUAAAUAAAUCUCCACAUUCCUUAAACUGGUUCUGUUAUACUAAACAUCUUCCAUAAUUAGGGGUUGUAGCAAUACCAACCCCGGAUUCUAAGACUCUUUUUAGUUGAAAUAUGUUUAUGCUGUUUACCCUUUAGACAGAGAAAAAAAAAUUCUACCUAGUAAAAUCCCUUAAAAAG
rnacentral:lncRNA from 10 species